GUGCCAGCAGCCGCGGUAAGACGAACCGUGCGAACGUUGUUCGGAUUCACUGGGCUUAAAGGGCGCGUAGGCGGGCGAUCAAGUCAGGGGUGAAAUCCUCCGGCUCAACCGGAGAACAGCCUUUGAUACUGGUCGCCUCGAGGAAGGUAGGGGCAUGUGGAACUUCCGGUGGAGCGGUGAAAUGCGUAGAUAUCGGAAGGAACGCCGGUGGCGAAAGCGACGUGCUGGACCUUUUCUGACGCUGAGGCGCGAAAGCCAGGGGAGCAAACGGGAUUAGAUACCCCAGUAGUCC
rnacentral:rRNA from 1 species